GGGGGGGGGGGGGGGGGGGGGGGGGGGGGGGGGGGGGGGGGGGGGGGGGGGGGGGUGGUGGGGUGGUCGGGUGGCGGACGGGUGGGGAGCGCGUGAGUGACCUGCCCUGGGGUUUGGGGUAAGUUCAGGAAACUGGGGCUCAUACCGGAUGGGAGCUCCUGCUGCAUGGUGGGGGUUGGAAAGUUUCGCCGGUUGGGGAUGGACUCGCGGCUUAUCAGCUUGUUGGUGGGGUAGUGGCUUACCAAGGCUUUGACGGGUAGCCGGCCUGAGAGGGUGACCGGCCACAUUGGGACUGAGAUACGGCCCAGACUCCUACGGGAGGCAGCAGUGGGGAAUAUUGCACAAUGGGCGGAAGCCUGAUGCAGCAACGCCGCGUGCGGGAUGACGGCCUUCGGGUUGUAAACCGCUUUCGCCUGUGACGAAGCGUGAGUGACGGUAAUGGGUAAAGAAGCACCGGCUAACUACGUG
rnacentral:rRNA from 1 species